GAUCUCCCGCGCGCCCCGCGGCGUGGACUACGCUACCCAUGGCGCCCCGCGGUCCCCGCCUGGCGGCCUGCCGCGGGAGCUGGGCGCGGUGCACGCUGGGGCGCGUAGUCCCCGCCAACAGCACCUGUAACCGAACAGUUGGUUGGCGGCCGCCCCAGGCGCCACCGCGGCGGCGCGAGUCCGCGGCCGUUAGUGACAGGGUGGGGCGCCGUGGUGCUGCCGUGGGCGGUGUUGGUGCUGCUCCUGCUGCGGUCGGAGAGAGGCUGCGCCCUGUGGAGAAUCAACACGCCUAGGGGAAAGAAUUUUUUUGAAAGCAGCUAUUAAAAAGACGUAUAGAACUGCAGAAGAAAACCACGAACUCUUUACUUCCAGGAAAAAUACCUUUGAAGAUGAAGAGCAGUAUUUGCCUGCUUCUGAUCCUUCUAAUUGUUUCACAUGCUAUUCAACCAUAGCUUCAGAAAUGGAAGGUUAAUUUUGUAGAUAUAUGAUCCUGAAAGUGCAGAUGCCUCUGAAUUGAAUCACACUGCAGUUUUUCCAUCAGAAAGAUCUCAGAUACUCAGCAAGCUGUUACAGAUUUUGGGACAGAAACCUGUUGUUCAGACCUAUUUCAAACAAAAAACAUACCAUUCUGAGAGGCUUCUGAAAUUCGGAUUAUGGGUAGCUGAUAUACCUGAAAUAUCUGAUGACAUCAUCAUAAAAAUACCUGGAGUAUUUCAGGAGUGCUUUGUUUGAAGUAUUUCUUCUGUAGUUCCAAGGCCCAAACAAUCAUUUCCUAGCAAGGAAAAUGACAUCUCACUUUGUUCCCUUCAGAAUAGUGAACUCUCUAUUAAAUGGUCUGCAUUUUUUCCAUCAACAGCAGUUUUGUUAUCAAAUUUUGGAACUUUCUAUACAAACGAUGCAUUCAAAACACACAUAGAAAUUAAAGUGCUCUCAGAUAUUUUGACCAAAGGCCUAAAUAAGAAUAUAAUUGUUGUGGCUCUGUCAGAUAAUGGAAUCUCAUUUUUAAUAAACAGCACUUAUAAAAGAGAAGCCAGACAUUUUUAAAGUUGAAGCAGAACACAAGCUUCCUGAGAGUGAAAUACUUGGAAUGCAUUCAAGAUACUGGUGUUCAUCUGUCUAUCCAGUGCAGAAUUGACCAGUGGUGUUACGUCAGCUGAACUGAAGCCUCGCGCUGUUGAAAAUGCACGUAAAUUACAGCAUCAGGUCUCUCACUUCUUUGUUGGCUGCCCUCCAGGAAGGCACAUUGCUGUUAAGAUAUAUGAUGGUGAUAUUUAUGUUAGAAAUGUUGAAGCAAAUUUUGUAUUAUGGGAGAUAAAAGGCAGAACUGACAAUGGGUACACUUCAUCCAUGAAAAAAGUCGGAUGUUUCCAUGGCUAAGUUUUAUUCCUUCAUCACUCUCAGCAUCUUGUUGGUCUGCACCACCUUCUGCUACAGAUACAGCCUCACUUGGAAGUCUGAAACACUGGGUGGAUUCCCAGAGAACUCAAUCAACCUAAAGGCCAGUAUCUCACUGAUAACACUAACGAUGUAAAACUUAAAAUAGAGUGGUGUUUGGGACAAGUGAUACAUUGUUUAUUAACAGAGGUUUAGCAAGUACUUUUUAUAGCUCUAUAAUACUAUUUAAUGUAUUUAGUUUCAUAUACAGAGGGCAUGCCAGUCAACGCAUCUGAGCUCCUAUGGGAGUAGAGCUCUGGUGUGGCUAAUAGUUUUUAAAAGACAGUUUCCAAGCCAAGCUAAGUUAAGCUGCAACAGUGAGCCUCGUGCUUGAGUUGGCUUCACAUUAUGGCUUACACUGAUUCAACUAAGGUAUCAGCAUAAUUUUUCAGUGUGAAAUCUGAUAGAACAGUGCAGGCAAAGAUUCUGCUCUGUUGAAGAGCUGCAGCAAUUGAGUUCUGAAAGUGCUCAGCACAGUCCACAGUGGGAAUAUUUUGUGUUUAUGGAGAUGUCUUUUGAUGCUACAUAUUUUACUUCUGCUUAAAGAAUGUCAAUUUGUAUGUAUUUGGAUCAUACAUAUUUGGUCCUCUCAAGCUUAUUCACUUCUUCAGUAUAUAAAUGUUUGUUAUAAUAUAGUUGUAAGAGUUAUAGUUGGUUACAGAAGUUACAACAUUUGUUAUAUCAGCAAGCAGUCAUACUUGCAUCUAUUUUUAACACCAUCUGAAGGUGUUAAAAGUGUCAGGCUUCCAAGCCUGAAUUUUCUUAUCAUCUAAUGAAGAUACCUUGCAAAGCUUAUGCUCUUAAUGGCAAUUGUUCCAUUUCUCCAAAACAAAUUAACAGAACUCCAUUGGCAAAUAAAUGUUGAAAUUCCUACAAUUGCUCUCAACAUUCAUUACUUAUAAAAAUUUUCAUAAAUAUUAUAAAAUCUGUAGAAAUCCAGCUUGAAUAUGAGCACAUUUUAAAAUACUGUUACUGAUUCAUUUUGUGUGACUCAUACCCUGUGUAUCUCAGUACAGUUUGCACCAAGACGGAAAUCAGGAAAAAAAUAAGUAACCAGCUUAGAAGUUUCACCUCCAGUAAUAGUCUGUUCCUACUGAAGCCAACUUUCCCUUAGGGCAGGACGGCCCCCUGGGGCUGUUGUAUGUUCCCUGCAUAUAAACCCCAUGCAUGCAGGAUCAUAGCAACACCUGUGGGGGGCGCUCUGCACUUCUCUGGCCGCCGUAGCGUUCUCUCAGAUCUCUGCUACAGCCGAAAGUUGCUGCUUCUCUACUCUUCGCUGUUUCUACACCUGUGAAAACUAAGCAGACAACAGCAUUUCCCACGGAGACAAAAGAAAAAUCAGACUGGUCUUUAAACGGAUCUCUCCAUACAAGCUUAGUAAAAUGUUACAGCAUUGUCACAGUCAGAAAGAUUAGCACGGUGGAGACAAUAGAGGAGUGAAAUAGCAAAAGGACAAACAGGCAAGGAACGCUGACCUGUCUCCAAGGAUAUAGGCUCAUGGAGAAAAACCUCCACAAAGAAGGAAUCUCCAAGAGAUCCUUUCCUAGCAGCAGUCAGCUCUUAAAUGAAGUCUAAGAGAGGUGCCUUCACCUGUGCUCCCAGGGCUGACCGGGUCCUUUCCCCUGGUGCUCAUUCAGUGGUUCAGGCUGUGACUCAACAGUUAACAUGCAGAAGUAAAAUCAAUGUAGUACAGCUUCAUAGUCAGACAACAAUUCAGGGUUUUGUUUUUCUUGAAGGAGAUUUUCUGUGUUCCUGUUCAGGGCCCAAGUACCUUCCAAAAUUACAAUUAAAAGUCCCUGAGUUCACACAUUACAGUUUUGAAGUAACAGUGCCCACUCCUGAUCCCCACCCCCUUACAUUGACCUUGAAUGAAGACACAUAAGGUCAGGCUGGAUGGGGCUCUGAGCAACCUGGUCUAGCUGUGGAUGUCCCUGUUCAUUGCAGGGGAGUUGGACUAGAUGACCUUUAAGUAUCCCUUCCAACUCAAAUGACCUUACGAACCUAAGAUGCCUAGAGCAGAGAAGCUGUACCUAAAGGAGACUUACCCUGAGCAGCCUGUGCUACGUGCCGAGCCCGGUCCCUCUGAAGUACCUUCAGCUGCCUAGCCUACAGCCUACUGCUGAGCAUGGAAAGAAGAUGCUGGCCUGACUCCUCCCCAGCUCUUUCUCAACACCUUCCAAACUGCGAGGAACAGAGGUGAUCGGCAAGGAACGAAGAAAAGCCCGUGAGCUCAAGAACUUUGGUUGUCACAGAUUUCAGACAAGGUGUUUCGACUACUGCUAUUUUAAGACACAAGCCCAUUUUCCUCAGCGCCCCCUGAUGCGAAAGCGGCUUCUGCCUACCAAACCUCUGGUUUGCAGCCACCAGCCCGGUCCCAGCCGCCAGCCAGAGGAGCAGACGGAGCGCACGGCGCCGAGCAGUCAGGGGCCGCACGGGCCGACGGCUCGAUGGGCACCGCGAGCCGUUACCGCCGGCAGUCCUCGCAGCCCCGACGGCCCCGAGGGCUACGCACCUGCACGGCCCGUCCCGCGGGAGCCGCUCCCGGCACACGGGCGGCACGGCGCGCCCCUCCCACGCGGAACGGCGGAGCGA